rnacentral:lncRNA from 1 species
AUGGUGGUGGUGGUGGAAGUGGUGGUGGUGGAGAUGGUGGUGGAGAUGGAGGUGGUGGAGAUGGUGGUGGCGGUGGUGGAGGUGGCCGUGGUGGAGGUGGUGGUGGAGAUGGAGGUGGUGGAGAUGGUGGUGGCGGUGGUGAAGGUGGCAGUGGUGGAGGUGGUAGUGGCAGUGGUGGUGAUGGUGGAGGAGGUGGUGGUGGAGAUGGAGGUGGUGGAGAUUGUGGUGGUGGUGAUGGUGGUGGUGGUGAUGGUGUUGGUGAUGGUGGUGGUGGUGGUGGUGGUGAUGGUGGUGGUGGUGGUGGUGGAGAUUGUGGUGGUGGUGGUGGUGGUGAUGGUGUUGGUGAUGGUGGUGGUGGUGGUGGUGGUGGUGGAGAUUGUGGUGGUGGUGGUGGUGGUGGUGAUGGUGGAGGUCAUGGUGGCAGUGGUGGAGGUGGUGAUGGUGGAGGUGGUGAUGGUGGUAUUGGUGGAGGAGGUGGUGGUGAUGGUGGUGGUGGUGGAGAUGGUGGUGGCGGUGGUGGUGGUGGAGAUGAUGGUGGCGGUGGUGGUGGUGGAGAUGGUGGUGGUGGUGGUGGAGAUGCAGGUGGUGGAGAUUGUGGUGGUGGUGAUGGUGGUGGUGGUGAUGGUGUUGGUGAUGGUGGUGGUGGUGGUGGUGGUGAUGGUGGUGGUGGUGGUGGUGGAGAUUGUGGUGGUGGUGGUGGUGGUGAUGGUGUUGGUGAUGGUGGUGGUGGUGGUGGUGGUGGUGGUGGAGAUUGUGGUGGUGGUGGUGAUGGUGGUGAUGGUGGAGGUCAUGGUGGCAGUGGUGGAGGUGGUGAUGGUGGAGGUGGUGAUGGUGGUAUUGGUGGAGGAGAUGGUGGUGAUGGUGGUGGUGGUGGAGAUGGUGGUGGCGGUGGUGGUGGUGGAGAUGAUGGUGGCGGUGGUGGUGGUGGAGAUGGUGGUGGUGGUGGUGGAGAUGGUGGUGGUGGUGGAGAUGAUGGUGGCGGUGGUGGUGGUGGUGCUGGUGGUGGUGGUGGAGGUGGUGGUGGUGGUGGAGGUGGUGGAGAUGGUGGUGGUGGUGGAGGUGGUGGUGGUGGAGAUGAUGGUGGUGGAGGUGGUGGUGGUGGUGGAGAUGGUGGUGGUGAUGGUGGAGGUGUGGUGGUGGAGGUGGUGGUGCUAG